GUUGGGAGAUGGUUAACUGUGGGCA
rnacentral:misc_RNA from 1 species